rnacentral:rRNA from 1 species
CACCGGUGGCCGAAAGCGGCUCUCUGGUCUGUAACUGACGCUGAGGCUCGAAAGCGUGGGGAGCGAACAGGAUUAGAUACCCUGGUAGUCCACGCCGUAAACGAUGAGUGCUAGGUGUUAGGUCCUUUCCGGGACUUAGUGCCGCAGCUAACGCAUUAAGCACUCCGCCUGGGGAGUACGACCGCAAGGUUGAAACUCAAAGGAAUUGACGGGGGCCCGCACAAGCGGUGGAGCAUGUGGUUUAAUUCGAAGCAACGCGAAGAACCUUACCAGGUCUUGACAUCCCGAUGCUAUUUCUAGAGAUAGGAAGUUUCUUCGGAACAUCGGUGACAGGUGGUGCAUGGUUGUCGUCAGCUCGUGUCGUGAGAUGUUGGGUUAAGUCCCGCAACGAGCGCAACCCUUAUUGUUAGUUGCCAUCAUUGAGUUGGGCACUCUAGCGAGACUGCCGGUAAUAAACCGGAGGAAGGUGGGGAUGACGUCAAAUCAUCAUGCCCCUUAUGACCUGGGCUACACACGUGCUACAAUGGCUGGUACAACGAGUCGCAAGCCGGUGACGGCAAGCUAAUCUCUGAAAGCCAGUCUCAGUUCGGAUUGUAGGCUGCAACUCGCCUACAUGAAGUCGGAAUCGCUAGUAAUCGCGGAUCAGCACGCCGCGGUGAAUACGUUCCCGGGCCUUGUACACACCGCCCGUCACACCACGAGAGUUUGUAACACCCGAAGUCGGUGAGGUAACUCGUAAGGA